rnacentral:rRNA from 1 species
UACGGGGGGUGCGAGCGUUGUCCGGAAUCACUGGGCGUAAAGGGCGCGUAGGUGGUUUGAUAAGGGUGUGGUGAAAGUCCGGGGCUCAACCCCGGAUCUGCCGUGCCGACUGUCAAACUCGAGGACUGUAGAGGCAGACGGAAUUCCGGGUGUAGCGGUGGAAUGCGUAGAGAUCCGGAGGAAGACCGGUGGCGAAGGCGGUCUGCUGGGCAGUUUCUGACACUGAGGCGCGACAGCGUGGAGAGCAAACAGG